AUAAGCGCCAGAGCUUCGGAUUCGCGCGUGACAGAUUGGCUGCUGAUGUAGCAGCGGGAUCUACGGCAAUCGAAGCUGACGAGGUGGAGGUGUUCGAAAUGUUCGGCGGGGGCCUCCCGGUAGAAGCAUCUAACCGUAAGUCGGAUAAGCAAACCCUAUGGGCGACCAUAGAUACAAACUU
rnacentral:ncRNA from 1 species